UAGGGAAUCUUCCGCAAUGGACGAAAGUCUGACGGAGCAACGCCGCGUGAGUGAAGAAGGAUUUCGGUUCGUAAAACUCUGUUGUUAGGGAAGAAAAAAUGUAUAGUAACUAUAUACAAAAGAGACGGUACCUAACCAGAAAGCCACGGCUAACUACGUGCCAGCAGCCGCGGUAAUACGUAGGUGGCAAGCGUUGUCCGGAAUUAUUGGGCGUAAAGCGCGCGCAGGUGGUUUAGAAAGUCUGAUGUGAAAGCCCACGGCUCAACCGUGGAGGGUCAUUGGAAACUAAUAAACUUGAGUGCAGGAGAGAAAAGUGGAAUUCCUAGUGUAGCGGUGAAAUGCGUAGAGAUUAGGAGGAACACCGGUGGCGAAAGCGGCUUUUUGGCCUGCAACUGACACUGAGGCGCUAAAGCGUGGGGAGCAAACAGG
rnacentral:rRNA from 1 species